UACGUAGGGUGCGAGCGUUGUCCGGAAUUACUGGGCGUAAAGAGCUCGUAGGCGGUUUGUUGCGUCGGCUGUGAAAUCCCGAGGCUCAACCUCGGGUCUGCAGUCGAUACGAGCAAACUAGAGUGUUGCAGGGGAGACUGGAAUUCCUGGUGUAGCGGUGAAAUGCGCAGAUAUCAGGAGGAACACCGGUGGCGAAGGCGGCUCACUGGGGGUUUUCUGACGCUGAGGAACGAAAGCCAGGGUAGCGAACGGG
rnacentral:rRNA from 1 species